GGUGUGAGGCCAGUAUGACUAUGACAUCUAUCAUCAUUGCUAGGAUUGAUUCAGCUGAUCUGGCUGGCUAGAUGCAUGUCCCCUCCCUCCCUCACCACUC
rnacentral:snRNA from 1 species